rnacentral:rRNA from 1 species
GAUGAACGCUGGCGGCGUGCCUAAUACAUGCAAGUCGAACGAAGAUCUAGCUUGCUAGAUCUUAGUGGCGAACGGGUGAGUAAUACAUAAAUAAUCUGCCCAUAUGACUGGGAUAACUAUUGGAAACGAUAGCUAAUACCGGAUAGGUUGAUUGGAGGCAUCUCUGAUUAAUUAAAGUAGGAUUUCUACACAAAUGGAUGAGUUUAUGGGGCAUUAGUUAGUUGGUGGGGUAACGGCCUACCAAGACGAUGAUGCGUAGCCGAGCUGAGAGGGUGACCGGCCACACUGGGACUGAGACACGGCCCAGACUCCUACGGGAGGCAGCAGUAGGGAAUUUUCGGCAACGGGCGCAAGCCUGACCGAGCAACGCCGCGUGAGUGAUUAAGGCCUUCGGGUUGUAAAGCUCUGUUGUAAGGGAAGAACAUUCAGGAUAGGAAAUGAUCUUGAACUGACGGUACCUUACCAGAAAGCAACGGCUAACUACGUGCCAGCCGCCGCCGUAACAC